AGAUUGAACGCUGGCGGCACGCUUAACACAUGCAAGUCGAGCGGUUUGAUAUCUAGCUUGCUAGAUAUCGGAUAGCGGCGGACGGGUGAGUAACGCGUAGGAAUCUGCCUUAGAGCGGGGGAUAACACGGGGAAACUCGUGCUAAUACCGCAUAAUACCUGAGGGUUAAAGAGGGCGAAAGCACUCACUCUAAGAGGAGCCUGCGUUGGAUUAGCUAGUUGGUGGGUAAAGGCCUACCAAGGCGAAGAUCCAUAGCUGGUCUGAGAGGACGGACAGCCACACUGGGACUGAGACACGGCCCAGACUCCUACGGGAGCAGCAGUGGGAAUAUUGGACAAGUGGGGCAACCUGAUCCAGCGAUGCCGCGUGUGUGAAGAAGGCCGUGCGGUAGUAAGCACGUUUCGGUGGUGAGGAGUGUCGUUGUGGUAGUUAAGUAGUCUAUGCGAGGUGUACGUUACG
rnacentral:rRNA from 1 species